AUCCUCCUAAUGUAUAGGUUCCUUCUGUUGUAUAGCCUCUUCUUGCAUCGACUUGUUUGCCUCUUGUACAAACUCCUAAUCAUGAUGCCGCUAGCAAGCAAACUCACUCUUUUUUUAGAGCGAUGUUGUCAGUCCAAUUCUUCCAAUAGAAGGAUCUCUAGAAAGAUAUGAUGUAGAAGCUCGUGUGAAACACACACAAUUUUUUC
rnacentral:lncRNA from 1 species